ACCUUUGCGCAGUGGCAGUAUCGUAGCCAAUGAGGUUAAUCCCAGGCGCGAUUAUUGCUAAUUGAAACUUUUACAAACCUAACUCACUGCACUGUACCCUGAACCAACAGGUGCCCUGACUUCUUUUUAAAAAC